rnacentral:lncRNA from 1 species
CGAGGGCUCAAAAAGAUUAGGAAGGGUGAGAACUAGAAAGACUAUCCAGUUUAGCAGGAAUGUGAUGAUGAAAAGAUCUCAAGUAAUGGUGAUUGAUUCCCACUGAAGGUACUAUCUCUCCUUGUAGCUGUAUUAGUUCUCUCAUUGCUGGACACAAUACCCAACACUCAUAAAUUUUUUUUUUUCUUUUUGAGACAGGUUCUCGCUAUUCAGGUCAGGCUGGCCUUGAGCUCACUUUGUAGCCCAGGCUGGUCUUGAACUCACAACAAUCCUCCUGCCUCAGCCUCCCAAGUGCUGGAAUAACAGGAGUGCAUCACCACACCUGGCUACACUCAAUUUAAAUGCAUACCAAAAGUUUAAUUUGCUCCUGGUUUUCGUCCAUAAUCAGCUAGCUCCAAGGAAAACACGUCACGAUGAAAGGGUCUACUAUAGCACAGAUGCUAAGCUCAUGGUGUCCAGGAAACAGAGCAGGCAAAGAGAGCCAGAGAGGAAUGGGCCAUGGAUCAGAUAUAGUACCCAAGGUCCAUGGCCCUCUCCCACACCCAGAUUCCUAUUAAUGAAAAUCUCCUUUUUCAGUCCCCUCUGAAGGUGUUUCCCCCAGAUUCCUCAUGCUGGCCUGAAACUGACUUCAGAUGUGAAGACAGAAAGCAGAUACAAUGCCCUGCACAAUUCAUGGCUCUAGAAGGCACUUGCCCAGGACUUGGGGAGGUGACUGAAGAGAUCUUCAGAAUCCGGAGGAGCUACCCACACUGACGGAUCAGCGACAGUGUUCAUGUGCUGUCAUGGCGCCCAGCACCCAGCACUGACCUUCAGAGAAUAAAAAUGCUACUUCACUUUUACUUCUCAAUCAUGAGCCAGUUUCUCUUGUGGUCAACCUUGAACUGGAACCAUGUAGGGAAAGGGAUUCUGGGAAAGGUAGUUCAGUGUAGAGUAAAUUGAUAGGCUACAAAGCUACUGGAUUCUACUGUCAGCUUAACAUUCACAAACACUUCUGUUAACUAUGCUUAACUGCAGAUGAAGAUAAGAUCAAAAUCAUGCUUCUACUUCACAUAACACCAUCUUUCAUGGAACUGACAACGCUAUCACUCUCUUAAGAGAGGAUAUAAGGUCCCUUUAUCUAUCUCUGGAUAUUCAUUCUUUUUCCCCCGAGUCACACGCUCCUUUGAUAUCUUGUUACUUAAUUCUAUUCUGGUUAUUUGCUGAACAAUAAACCAAUUAAAACCUACAGCCAUUAAAAUAACCAUCACAGAAUUUGUGUGGCAGGAAUUUGAAGAGGGCACAGCAAGGAUGGUUCGUCUGAGCUCCAUAAUGCCUGUGUUGGGAUCAAACAGCAGGAGUGGGAACAGUGGGGGUCAGAAUCCACUGUCAAGAUGGCUCUUCACUCUCAUUUCCGAAAUCUGAUUUAUGUGGCUCAAGGCAGCCUCAUCUGGAAUGAUCAACUGGAGGCUCUGCAUGCAGCCUAUACUGCAUCUUAGAACAGCUGGGCCACUAACAAGGAUGCUCAGAGAUCCAAAGUGAGUUUUUCAGCUAACAAGGUAGAAAUCGUAUGGUUGUUUAUGAUACAGCUUUGGAACUUGCAGCCCAUACUGCAUCUUAGAACAGCUGGGCCACUAAUAAGGAUGCUCAGAGAUCCAAAGUGAGUUUUCUAGCAAACAAGGUAGAAACCGUAUGGUUGUUUAUGAUACAGCUUUGGAACUUACCUAGUGUAGAAGCUUGAAAGGGCACAGGAGUUUGGAAGUCACCAACUCGUUGAAGAAAUUACAGACCUCCUAGAUCAAGGGGAGAGAAUAUAAACUCCCCUUUGAUGGGUAGAUGAUCACAAAAUUUAAGGCCAUGUUUCAAAAUCACUACCUGGAGCUUUGUCUGGACUAUCACGCUUAUAUGCAAUAUCGGCUAGUGCACCUGUGGGCCAUUCUUGAGCACAAUUUUGAAUGCUCUUCAUUUCUCAUGUGAAUAAACCGAUGAGAGGACUGCCUAUGAGAAUAUCACUUUGCCUUCCUUUCCGUGUGUCACUAGGUUUCGUAAAAACCCACCCACUUGUCAAGGUUAAGCUCACAUUCCAAUUUUUCUAAAAUUUACCAGGAAGGAAUCCCUCACUGAUAAUGACUGGGCUUGAGACCCUGGUCUAACCACUUAUCUUGUGGCAUACAGGAUUCUUAAUGGCUUCAGCUGACAAUAACGAGAGGAAUGGUCAACUAGUCAAUGAAUAAUGAUAUGAAAGUGUUUUGGGCUAAUUCAUGAAGCUGAGAAACUCAUUUGAUUUUGAAUUAAAGAACAAUUUUGGCCAAAAUAUUGUUCUACCUUAAAAAAAGUUUAAGAAUUAGCAUAGUUAAAGAAAAAGAAAAAUAAAUG